rnacentral:snoRNA from 1 species
GGGAUGUGAUCAGAGCAGGGCUCAUGAAGAAUGGCUUCUCUGUUUACAACACAUCCAACAGGAAUUUGGGUUUACUCUUCACAGGUGGCAGGAUACUGUGACUUUCUGUGACAUUAUGCCCUAUAUGU